GGAAAGAUUAAUAGUGAGUUAAUGCCACACUAGAAUUUGCACUCAAAAUGCCUGAGUUGCUAUACUACUCUCUAGCUACCUACCACUGAAGGCUUCCAUUUAGAACUCCACAUUGUAUAUUGUAUGUAUAAACUAGCAGUGUAUAUAUAAACUAGUUCAACAGCAUUGUAUAUAUAAACUAGUUCAAACUACUAUAGAAUGCACAUGAAAAAGUCAUAAUAAUAGAGAUGGGGGGUCUUGCUAUGUUGCCCAGUACAGUUUUGAACUCCUGGCCUCAAGCUAUCCUGCCUCCUCAGCCUCCACAAUAGCUGAGGUUUCAAGCAUGAGAUACUGUGCCUGGUCUGAGUAACCAAUUAAUGCCUACAAUAAAACUCCUGAAUGAAUAUUGGAACUACAGGUUGUUGAUGUUUUUCUCAUCGACGAGAGCUCUUUGGUCAACUGUAAAGAAACACUUAUGAAACUGCCAUCAUCACAGUGAAUAAGACCAAAAAUGAAGACCUUGAGAUCAGAUAUGAGUACUCAAUCGAUUCAGCACUGCGUAUCGCCACUGCAAUUAAGACUAAAUGAAGUGAAAACGCUUUUUAACAAGUAUGUCAUACAAAGUGCUAUGAUUCAUCUACUUACAAUGGAAUUAGAAUUCUGGAAAUGUGUCGCCAGAUUUUUUUUUGCCAUUAGAGAGGAUUAAAUUGUACAAAAUAAGUGCAUUGUCUGUUAUUUAUGACUCAGAUCUAAAAUUUUUCUUGGUAAAUGAAUAAAACCUUUAUAUAACCAUUAAUCUGAUCUCUGGUAUUUCAAUAGUAAAAAGGAAAGUGUUGACAUUUUACAAUUCAUUGCUGAAAGAAACCUAUAAAAUGGAGUGCCAUCAUCUCAUUGUUUCUUGAUACAGACCGGUCACAAUUUCUAUACUAAGUUUUAAGUAUGCUGCAGUUUUAACUUUCAAGCACCAUCGUAUAAUUGAAUUUAUUUACAUACUUUUCAGAUCAUAUUGGAACCUGGAC
rnacentral:lncRNA from 1 species